CGCAGUGGAAGGGAGCAGGAAGAUGGCUGCUGCGUGGAGGCAGACCUCACAUCGCAAUCCGAGUAUAUUGUGUUAUUUAUAAAAAAUAAGACGUUUAAAUAUUGUUAUUGAUGAAAAAAGGAUUCAAAGAUUCGACGCAGCCACGCCCUAGCAAUGCGGCCAUCUUGUUAUCUCAAUGCACCACGUGAGUCUCUGUAUGUAAACCGUAUAUGACAACCGGCGAACUCUCAACAAGUAAAGCUUCCAGCAACAUCAAUGUUCAGAUUGAUGUAAAAAAGUCGAAAAAGUGCGUUUCGAUGGAAGCUAGACGUUCAUCAGAUCCAAAAACUUGGAAAUGAAGGAUUAACUUGAAGAAUAAAUCAGUUGGAGAAAAUAAUACAUCAAUCCAAGCAAGAAAAGUAUCGACUGUGAAACAGGAUGUUAUCAAAACCUGAAGGACUUGGUGCGUGCAGGAUGCAGCCUAAAGAUGCGCUGACAUUCCGCCAGAUGGCAAAAGGAAUAUCUUCUAAAGUGUAUCUCUUGAAUUCAGAAUCUUGGAGUAAUGAAUUAAAAUAAAUCAAUAACUACAAAAUAAUUACCACACUUGGAUUAAGAUGACCUAUUUAAAAAUAAAUUCAUUAUUAAAACAAUACAAUUUUUC